UCAAAGUUGCUUGAUACUAAUUUCCAAAUUGAGAAGAUUGGCACUGGUCAAUCAGUUGUAGUAACCUGCUACUGUCCUGCUAAAUACACUGGCUCACUGAUAAUGGCUGUCUUUGAUAAGAUAGAGAUGCUGCAAAAGAGAGGAUUGAAGAAAUUUAUAUUAGGCAACAGUACAGUGUGGGAUGCUCAAGUAGUGACUGACUUACUGGUAGAAAUUAAUGAUUUGAAAACUGCUCUAAAAGACAGAGAUGAAGCAAUUAUGUCUACUGAAAUAGAGUUAGCAACACUCAAAGAAAAA